rnacentral:rRNA from 1 species
UACAUGGGGUGCAAACGUUGCUCGGAAUUAUUGGGCGUAAAGCGCGCGUAGGCGGUUACUCAAGUCGGAUGUGAAAGCCCUCGGCUUAACUGAGGAAGUGCACCCGAAACUGAGUAGCUAGAGUACUAAAGAGGGUCGCGGAAUUCCCGGUGUAGAGGUGAAAUUCGUAGAUGUCGGGAGGAACACCGGUGGCGAAGGCGGCGACCUGGGUAGAUACUGACGCUGAGGCGCGAAAGCGUGGGGAGCAAACAGG